CUCAGUUCAGAUUGCAGGCUGCAACUCGCCUGCAUGAAGUCGGAAUUGCUAGUAAUCGCAGAUCAGCAUGCUGCGGUGAAUACGUUCCCGGGCCUUGUACACACCGCCCGUCACACCAUGGGAGUCGGUAACACCCGAAGUCGGUAGCCUAACCGUAAGGAGGGCGCCGCCGAAGGUGGGAUUGAUGACUGGGGUGAAGUCGUAACAAGGUAGC
rnacentral:rRNA from 1 species